rnacentral:lncRNA from 1 species
ACUGGUCUGAUAAAUACUCUCGUCCUCUAUCAGUACGUAGAACUUUUAGAGUUCUUUCUGUUUGGUUCUCAACCUCCACUAAGAAGCGUUUAAAAUAAUCUAAAGCUUCUGAACGGUGAGACAACAGAUAUACCGAACUAUAACGGGAGUAGUCAUCAAUGAAAGUGAGGAAAUAGUACGCGCCAUGACGUGCUCUCAAAUUCAUAGGUCCGCAUAUGUCUGAAUGAACUAGCUCCAAUGGAUGAGUUGCUCUACGUGCCUUACCAAAAGGCUUUCUGCAGGCUUUUCCUGCUAAACAUGGUUCACAAGGAGGUAGGCUAAGCUUAGCGAGUGACCCCAAUAGGCCUUCUCUAGCUAGUCGAGCCAUUCUUUCUUGUCCAAUGUGACCCAAUCUCGCAUGCCCUUUGAUAGAAUCAGAUACAAUAUCAGAAGAAACUAAUAAAGCAGAAUUAUUGUUAUGAUUAAUAAAAUCCAAGUCCAAAUCUAAGAGAAAGAAAUCAAUUUUUAAACAACCAUUACCAUAAAAGUUCUUGCCCAAAUAAAUAUCUAACUGAGUAUCCGUAAAUUGGAAAGAAAAACCUAAUCUAAGUAAAGCUAAAACUGUGAGUAGAUUACAUCGGAUGUUCGGUGAAUACAGCACAUCAUGUAAUAUCAAAUAACGACCAUUGCGCAAUCUAUGUUGGUAUGCGCCAAUUCCAAGGACUUCUUCCUCAGUGCCGUUUCCCAUCAUGACAUAAUGGCUGCUAACAAACACCCGACGAUAAUCCACAUAUCCUGCUCGAUCUCUCGUUACAUGCUUUGUUGCUCCUGUGUCUACAAUCCAAUCAGAGAGAGCGUGAGCAACAAAAAUGUGCGAGCAUACAUAAAUAANACCAAUUCACUUAAAGCGUAUAGAAACAGCGUCCACGGGUCUCGAUUGUGACUCGGCCCACCUGGCCUCACGCCACUUCGAACAUGACUCGGCCCAACCCAGCCUCACGCCAUUUUGAACAUGACUCGGCCCACAUGGCCUCCCGCCACAGGGCAGGAUGCUGGCCCAUUUAAGCCAACAUUAAGUUCUCUUAUUAUAGCAGACAUCACCCUUAAGUGCUCUACCAUAGAAUGCUUCGGGUCCAACAAGUAUUGAUUGAAUUUGAGAUUCAAUGCACGAAGUCUUGUGGUCGAUGUGGCCCCAUAUUUCACUUUUAGCUGCUCCCACAUAUUUUUAGCAGUCUCAUAAUUCUGAAAUUCUUUAAUCAAAUCAUCGUGCAUACAGCUCAACAUUGUAUAGCGUGCACUUCGAUCUUUCUCAAGCCACUCGUUGUAGGCUUGCAAAUCGCGACGGUGUUGAGCCGUCGUGUACUGUUGGUUAAAUGACUAAGUAUUCCUUUCUCAUUAAGGAGAUAUUGAAUUUUCCUAUGCCACAUGUCAUAAUUCGUUCCAUCGAGCCGAUUUUGAUUUAACGAAUCCACGAUGGAACAAUUUUUGGAAGCUAUUUAUCACUACAAUAAUGCACAUAAUUUUAAAUUAGGCACAAAUAUCCACAAUAUUAUUCUCAAUCCAAUUUGAUUAUAAAAUUUCUCACUGCAUCUUUAAAUCGAAAAUUUCGCCUUUGAAAAGACUAAUAAUCAUCUCAUCCAAUGCAAAAAAAAUAAUAAAUCAAAUUAAUUAAGAAUAAAUCCACGUCACAAAUUAAAUGAUGAACAUUAUGCAAUCAUUAUGCAAUUUAAUCAAAAUAACACAUUGCAAUUUAUGAAGCAAUCAUAACUUAUAUAAGACAGCAAGAAAUAAUAUAUAAAAGUUAACAUGUAAAUUUUAAAGAAGCAAUAUUGAUCCUAGUGGUUUGAUGAAGUAGGCCUAAAGCUUAGGGUUGAGGUAGGGGUGUAAAACGGGCCGGGCGGCACGUGGCCCGCCCGGCCCGGCACGGCUGCGGGCCGGGCCGGCAGCACUCGGGCGAUGCUUGGCUAUUUUGAAGACGACGGCCGGCACGGGCGGCCGAAAGGGCUUGGGCCGUGCGCUGGGCGUAGGAGAAGGCCGUGGUCAGGCACGGCACGCCGCUUGGGCCGUGCAGCCGGCCCACGGCCCGAGAACCAGGCCAAGGCAAGUUGCUUGGCCUGGGGUUUUGCUCUCCUUGGGUGGAGUGCCUUGACUGUCCAAGGAUGAGCUCCUUCCCAAGGUCUGCCUAGGACCUUGGGGGUGAUUUUGGCAAUGGACAAGCAAUUUUGGUCAUUGGCCAAAACCUUCUCAACUUUUUUUUUUUUUCAAAAAAGAAGUCAAAUAUUUAAUAAAUUUAAAAUUAUUUUUUAUUAUUUUUAUAAUUUUAUUUUUUAAUCAAAAAUCUCGCUUUAUAUAAAUAUAUUUUUGUUUAUUUUUUUUAUAUUUAUGUAUAUUUUAAAAAAUAAAAGGGCGGCCGGAGCACAGGGCCGGCCUCGACGUGCCCUGUGCUUCGGCCAGGUGGCCGUGCUGGCCGGUGUAGGGUUCGGGCUGCCGGCCGCCCGGAUUAGCACGGGCCGGAGCACGGCAUCUAUCCGCCGUCGGCCGUGAAUGUGGGUCGUGACGGCCGGCAGGCACCACAUUACAGCCUAGGUUGAUGAGGUAGUUUCACAGCCUAUAGAACAUGGUUUUACCUGUUUUUAUUUUAGUUUGCGCCAUAAGAUUCCAUCGCGGUUGGACUUGGCCCUGUUGAUGCUAUAGACUAAUAAAACUCAUGGAUUUUAAUUCUUCAUGGGUUUUGUCUAAUAUGAAAUCUGCGAAUCCAGUAAUACAAAAAAAUUCAAGCUUAUUUUAAGCUGUUGGUAAAGAUAGAUUCCACCAGAUUUAUGUAUAAUAAUUAAUGGGGUCUAAGAUUGUUACAAUUUUCAAAUUCAAAGUUCAAAAUGUAAAAUAAAUUUUAAAAAUUUAAAUUAAAAUUCAAAUAUAAGAUUAAAAUUUAAAUUUAAAAUUAAAUAAUCUAAUUUAUUUUAUGUUUUAAAUUUGAAAUUUAAUUUGGAUUGUGAAAUUUAAAAUUUAAAUUUGAACUUUAAUUUUAAUUUAAGUUAUCAUUAACUUUAAAUUAAUUAAUAAUCUUAAUUAAAUUUAAUUUUAAAUUUAAUUUUUAAAUUUCCUAUUUAAAUUUAAAUUUAAUUUAGUUUAAUUUUAAUUUUUGGAAAAUUGAAAUUAACAAUUAAAAUUAAAUUAAUUUGUAACUUUUGAAUUUGAAAUUGAUUGACUUUUUGAAAUCGUUGAAUUUCAGUUCGAAAUUCAACUUUUUGAAUUUGAAAUUUCAGAGUUGAAUUUGAAUUUCAUAAGAUUGAAAUUUGAAAUUUAAUGUUGAACUUUUGAAUUCUGGAAUUUGAAUUUGAAAUUUGAAAUUUGAAAUUUGAGCAUGAAUUUAAAAUUUGAAAUUUGAAUUUGAAUAUUGAAUUUUGAAGGGAAAUUUCAAUUCAUUUAAAUCAAAAUGAAUUGAAUUUUAAUUUUAAUUUGAAUUUAAUUAAUGUUGAAAUUUUAAAUAGAAUUUAUAAUCUUUGGGAGCCCAAAUGUGGAAUUUUUUUUUUUGGUUAAGUGGUUAUAAGUUUACUCUAUUUUUUUGGAGUAUAGUUUAUAAACUAUACUCAAUUAGUUAUUUUUUUUUUUUCGUCCAAACACUUCAUAGGUAUUUUCCUAUCGGGCCGUAGCAUAGAUUAACUUGCUACGUUUUUGAGGGUAUCAAGUGUGUCCUUAAUUUGGUCUCGCGAAGAAAAGGUGUCUUUGCUUGCAUGCACGCCCAUCGCGGACGGGCUCCCGCAUGCCCGUAGGCCCAACUCGAGCGGGUCUUCCGCGAUGGGCUCCCGCAUUCCCGCAGGCCCAACAAGGGUGGGCCACCUAGUAAGCCCAGCGCGGGCGGCCUCGCAAGGCCGCCGGUCUUGCGCAUGCAGGCCGCUGCAGGCCUUGUGCAUGCGGGCUGCCGCAGGCCCUACACGGGCAGGUGCUGGAGGCCCAGCGCAGGUGGCCUCUCAAGCCUACAGGCAGGACGUAGAUCCUGCGCAUGCGACCCUCCGCAAGCCUGGCACGGGUUAGCCUCCAAAACCCAAAGCGGGCAGCAUGUCGGUUAAUUUGCAAAGAUCAAGGAAGCAAUCAUAUGUGAUGUUGACUUGCCAAUUGCGAAUCAAAACUUCACCAACAAUAAUUUUUAUAUUUUUUAACAACAUAAAAAUAUAUUCGAUGUUAAAAAAAACGAAUCAUCGAGUUAAAACAAGAACUACAUGGCUCUGAUACCACUGUUGGAUAAAAUUAAUUAAAUACCCAAAAAUCAAUCGUCGCAAAAAUCACAUAGAUUUUUACAUGCCUCUUUAUGGUGCGGAAUUAAUGUUGUGAUUAUCAGGAUCUGAUCUCGUCUUGUUUUACGAACUCGUUGAUCCGUCAACGUCCUGUCUCAAUUUGUUGCACGUUGUUCUUACUCGUUGCAAUCCGGCUACUAGAGUCGAUCGCCGCCCACCGCCCAAAUCCCUAGGGUUUAUGAUGGUGCCCUAGAGCGAACCCAAGAGAGAGAAUUUUUGUGGAGAGAUGAUUCUUCUUUUUUUUUUUGUUGUCUUUCUUCUGUCGUAUAUGGUCAAUACCUCAUGUAUUUAUAGGCCAUAAGGGAGACGUUAAUCUUAAUCAUAUUCUAACUAAAUCUCACAUAGUUAAAGAUUUAAACAGAUUAGGAUUUAUCUGUUAGAUUUAUUCUUUAUCCCAAAUGGACUAUAAAUAUAACAAAUAAUUAUAAAUAUUUAUUUCUUAUCCCAUAUAGAUUAGAAAUAUUUUAGAUAAGUCCCAAUGUGGACGAAUCCUAACACAAAUAAACAUAUCUAAAGUUGUAGAUCUAUUUUUAAGUUGCAAUAACAAAAAAAAAAAAAAAAUCAUACCUCGUUUGAGUGCGCGCGGGGUGUGGGUAGUUCGGGGCUAUUCGUACAGAGUGAGAAGGGCGGCGCAAGGGAGCGACGGGGGUGUGCGGUGAGGUUCGUGUUGGGGAGUAUAACAAAGAGAGAGAGCUCCGUCUAGACCAAGGUGUAGAGAGAGAGAGAGAGGGAGAGGAAGAAAAAUCUGAGCCUAGCUUGGUCUGGACCAAGGCGUAAAGAGAGAGAGAGAGAGGGAGAGGGAGAAAAAUCUCAGAGAUAGAGNUUCAUAGGAUUAUUUUCCUACCGGCGUAGCAUAGUUUAACUAUGCUACGUUUUUAGAGGUAUCCAAACGGGUCCUUAAUCUUGGUCCAAAAAACGGGUUGCUGGCAUGUGCUUGCAUGCAGGCCCAUCGCGGACGGGCUCCCGCAUGCCCGCAGGCCCAACUCGAGCGGGUCUUCCGCGAUGGGCUCCCGCAUUCCCGCAGGCCCAACAAGGGCGGGCCACCUAGUAAGCCCAGCGCGGGCGGCCUCGCAAGGCCGCUGGUCUUGCGCAUGCAGGCCGCCGCAGGCCUUGUGCAUGCGGGCUGCCGCAGGCCCUACACGGGCAGGUGCUGGAGGCCCAGCUCAGGCGGCCUCUCAAGCCUACAGGCAGGACGUAGAUCGUGUGCAUGCAACCCUCCGCAAGCCUGGCACGGGUUAGCCUCCAAAACCCAAAGCGGGCAGCAUGCGGGUUAAUUUGCAAAGAUGAAGGAAGCAAUCAUAUGUGAUGUUGAUUUGCCAAUUGCGAAUCAAAACUUCACCAACAAUAAUUUUUAUAUUUUUUAACAACAUAAAAAUAUAUUCGAUGUUAAAAAAAUGAAUCAUCGAGCGAAAACAAGAACUACAUGGCUCUGAUACCACUGUUGGAUAAAAUUAAUUAAAUACCCAAAAAUCAAUCGUCGCAAAAAUCACAUAGAUUUUUACAUACCUCUUUAUGAUGCGGAAUUAAUGUUGUAUAUAAUUAUCAGGAUCUAAUCUCGUCUUGUUUUACGAACUCGUUGAUCCACCAACGUCCUGUCUCAAUUUGUUGCACGUUGUUCUUACUCGUUGCAAUCCGGCUACUAGAGUCGAUCGCCGCCUACCGCCCAAAUCCCUAGGGUUUAUGAUGGUGCCCUAAAGCGAACCCAAGAGAGAGAAUUUUUGUGGAGAGAUGAUUCUUCUUUUUUUUUGUUGUCUUUCUUCUGUCGUAUAUGGUCAAUACCUCAUGUAUUUAUAGGCCAUAAGGGAGACGCUAAUCCUAAUCAUAUUCUAACUAAAUCUUACAUAGAUAAAGAUUUAAACAGAUUAUGAUUUAUCUGUUAGAUUUAUUCUUUAUCCCAAGUGGACUAGGAAUAUAACAGAUAAUUAUAAAUAUUUAUUUCUUAUCCCAUAUGGAUUAGAAAUGUUUUAGAUAAGUCCCAAUGUGGACGAAUCCUAACAGCCAUGAUCAUAUAACAUAUAGGGUGCGUUUGGUUCGAGUUAUCCUGGCAGGAUUACAGGCAAUCCUGCCAGGAUAACUGUGUUUGGUUAAUCCGCUAUGUAAUCUAGUCGUUAAUGUAGCAUUACAAAUCGAGCAGGAUUACAUCGAAAAUAUUAACGGGAGUGGGGUCGUGUAUCUUGCAUUACUGAAACCCGUUAAUACUACAUAUUAUAUAAAAUGACAAUUUCACCCUCCAACAACCCCAAAUCUAAUUAACAGCAUUAUUUUCAUCUCUCUCUCGUCUUCCCCCCUCUCUCUCGUAUGCCGCUUUCUCUCGCUCUCUCUCUCUCUCGACGUCUCUCUCUCUCUCUCUCUCUCUUUCUCUCUCUCUCUCUCGCAUGAACACCUAUCAUCUUCUAUUGCGUCGUCCUCCCAGGUAAUCAUCACGAUCUCCUUCCCUCCAUUCGUCAUUUCUGCAAAAAAUAAUAUUCAAAUGACCACAACAAGGGUAAUUUUGAAAAAAACUAUACUUUUAUGUCAGGAUUACUAAAUUUUAUUAACUGAACCAAACGUAUUAAUGCUAUAAGCACUGUAAUCUAGUAUUACAUUACUGCAUUAAACCAAACGCACUAAUACAGCAUCAGUAGUAAUCUGAUGCUAAAAUCUAAGAUACCUGGAUAUGUCGAGAUACUUUGUAAUAUUACAUAACUCGAACCAAACGGGCCCAUAGAGUUAUAUUGCCGUAGUUGUACAUGAUUUGAGAUGAGCAUGUUAGGGAUGGGUAGAUUCUCGGAUAUUGUCAUUCUUUUGUUGUAUAUUAUGAUGCAUGAGAGUUGCAUAAUGUCGGAUUCUAUGUUAUCUUGGGAUGAGUAAAUUGCAUGCUCUUGAAUGUGGAAUAGAACUUAAUAUUGCAAGUCAUAACAUUUCAUGUAUAAAAUUGGAUAUUGGUCGUUAAGAACCCUAGAUAUACAUGUGAACUAGUGGUGAGGCUAGAGUAUGGAUUUAGACAAACCUUGUGUAGCACUAGGUGUAUUGAUAGUUGUAGAACUUGAACCUAGUGACAAGAAUUGAGUGAAAUUUCAAGUGCGAAUGACGGUUUGAGUCAUUUGCAUGUAUAGCAUGACAACUAGCACCUUGUCAUUGGGAUUGAAAUAGAUCCCCAAAGGUUGCUAUUGGGAUUGAAAUAAAUCCCCAAAUAUUGUCACAAGGGUCAGUAGUGAGUUCUUUUGGUUGAGAGAACUAGAUCAUACUCGUAUAGUCUGUUACAGCUUGUGGAGGCCACGACUCCACAAGUAGUGAGUUCUAGAGUGUCACACGAAAAAAGCGGGCGAGGAUCACAGUAGAACCUCCCCAGCAAACAACCAUGGUGGUGGCUCGGGUGUGAAAGAUCUCCUCCCCACAUCGCCAGCCAAGGUGGUGGCUCGGGAGUGAAAGACCUCCCUACUUGGCGGUGUGAGUUGGGUUCGACCUUAGGAUGAGCUGGUAUGAUUGGAUCAUGAGGUAACAGAGGAAGAUAUCUGAGUAUAGUAAGUCUUGUUUUUGGCUACCUUGUGUAGUAUUGUUGUAGUGUCACAUGGUUGGUGACGGGUCGAUUAUGCCUCCUCAACAAACAGGCAAAGGUGGGUGAUUGGGUCGCGUAGCGCCUCCCCACAUGGCUGAGAGGGGUGAGUUGGGCUUGACCUUAUAGCAAGCUUCCUGAUUGGGUCAAGAAUAAGUAAAGGGUCAAGUUGAGCAUAUUGAGCCUUGGAACAUAUCUUUACUCGUAAAGGUAUAGUAGUGUUUAUUCCAAUUUAUGUAUAGUGUAGUUAUUUACUGCUUCUUGAUUUUUGUAUCUACUUAUACUUGAUUAGACAUAGUAGGAAAGUCGGUGAGGUUGGCAGCCGAACACAUUGGAAACUUCUUUUAAUUCUCACCCCUAUUUUGCAGAGCCAACUAUAAGCGAAGUGGCAUCAAACCGAGGCGUGGGUGUUGCGUCUUAGAUUGCAAGGUCACCAAGUGUAGGUUACCCAUGUUCAAGUAAAAGAAAAGAUUGUAAAGGUAUUUGGAACGAAAAUGUAAUUGCAAACAAAUAUUGUAUUUUAAGGAAAUGACAUGUACCAAAUGUUAUAUAUCUAAGUUGGAAAAUAUAUGUAUAAAUGUGAUUGUUCCAAUAUUGUAAUAGUUAGAUUUACAAACUCGCUCUUGUGAUAUGCCCUCAUACAGAACUGUGUUAUGUUGUUUUUUUGUGUGAAAUUCAAUAUAUUUAGUUUUGUUUACGCCUUGGACAGAUAAAAAGAAUUUUGUCUGUUCGGCGAGUUUGUGCACGUGCCUAUGUAGCCUCCACUGUGAAACAGGCAAGGCGUGACAAACUAAAAUAAAACACUGAAAAAUUUACACCCUGUUUGAUUGGGGGUUAAAAGGGGGAAUAAGGGGGUUAUCCUCUCCUUUAACCCCAAACAAAAAAUUUUGGGGGUGGGGUUAGCAACCCAGGAAUAGGGGUGGGAUUAAGUUAAACCCCUAUUCAAUUUUUUAAUAUAAAUAUAAAAUUUAAUUUUAAAAUUUAAAAUUUUAAAAAUUUAUAUAUUUAAAUUUUAGAAUUAAUAUUUUUUUUAAAUUUAAAAUUUAAAAUUAUUAUUUUUAAUUAUUUAAAUUUUAAAAUUGAUAUUUUAUAUUUGUAACUUUAAAUUUUUUAAUUUGAGAUUUAAAAAUAUAGAUAUUAAUUUUGAAUUUUAAAUUUUAAUUUUUAAAUUUUAAAUUAUUAUUUUUAAUUCUUUAAAUUUUAAAUUUGACAUUUUANUUGGAUAAGCAUAAAUUUCUUUUCUAUUUUAGAGAUAAAAAAAUUAAAUAAAUUUUUAAUUAAAAUAUAGAUUCACAGUAGGUAUCUUUCAGUUGGUAAAAAUUUGGAUAAGUAUAUUAUUUUUUCUAUUUUAGAGAUAAAUAGAAAUUAAAAGCUUAUUUCAUUACGUUAUUUAUUUUACGUAAGAAAAGAGAAUCAAUAUUUUUUUCCCGCCAAAAAAUGGGUCUGUCGACAGACCCAAAUUUGUAAUACGUGCUUUUAUAUAUAGUAUAGAUAGUCCGGUUACUAUACUAUCGAUAAUACAAGGCAUUUGGUGGUAUCGAGUUUUCCACCGUUAGAUCUACCCUUUUGACCAUUUUCACCUGUUAGAUCAUACUAUUCAACUAAACACCCACUCAACUCUAGAGGUCCACUAUCAUUCCAACCGGGGAUCAUUAUAAUCCUAACCACAUCACUACAACAGAAUUAGGUUAUAGCGACACAUUUCUGGGACACUUUUUUUGUAAGUGUCUCAUUUAUGCCAAAAUCUUUAAAAAAUUCUACUAAAGCAUAUAUAUAAAGCUCAAUCCAAAAAAAAGUAAAAUAUUACUUUACUCAACCCACCCCACCCAGCCCGUUUGUCCUGAUUACAAACAGAAAAGGAAAAAAAAGAAAAAAAGAAAAAUAGAUCACCAUCUUUCCUUCUCCCCUCACUCAAUCUAUUGAAACCCUAGAUGAUGAGCCCCUCGUUCUCCUCCUCCUCCGUGCCGCAGCCGACGAGGUAGGGUUCCGGCGGUUGCUAAAUUCUUUAAUAAGUGUUGAUAAAUUAGCAGUAUUCUUUUUAAGUUAUACCGUCACUCUUCAAGUGUCACUAUAUACCUAGCGACCCCAGAUAUAACAACACUUUAAAAAAUGUCGGUAAUUUAGCCAGCAACAUUUUUUAUGACUUAUGCUGACUUUUAAAAGUGUCGCUAUAAACCGUUUUUGUUGUAGUGACACUUCCCUUCAUCCAAGGGCCGAAACCUAAUAACACUAAGCGUUUGGUACUAUUAAUAGUAUAGUAGCCUAAUCUAUUUAUAUGUAAAUAAAUAAUAGCACCAAGAAUUUGGAAGUGUUGGUGCUACCAAGUUUUCCACCAUUAGAUGCACUUUGAUCAUUUUCACCUGUUAGAUUAUGCUAUUCCACCAACCACCCACUAAACUAUACUAGGAAACCACUAUCAUCCUAACAACACAAAUCUUAAUCUAAGGGCCGAAAACUUAAUAGCACUAAUGAUGUGGUGCUAUUGGAAACAUUCUAGCCUUAUAUAUAUAUAUAUAUAGCUAGGUUACUAUGUUUUCAAAAGUACAAAUUCUUGCAUACUUAAGUUGUUUUGUAUGAUGGGACAUUCGAUUUGACGAUCAGUUCAUUAGACAUGAUCUAUAGUGUUUGAACUAUCUAUAAACCAAAUUUAUAAUUUUUUUUAUGCUUUGUUUGCCUACAGAACAAGCAGUCUCAAAAUGAACGGUUGAAAAUAAAAAUGUCAUAAAAAACAGCGAUAAAAGAUAAAUUUCAAAUUGAAAGUAUUGAUCUUACUCUUGAUAGUGUGUAAAAUUUUUAAAAAAAGAUUUGGUCUCUAGAUCUUGAAUUUGAUAAUCGUAUGAUCAUUUUUUAAUAGAUUUUUAUUUUCAGACAUUCAUUUUUGGCUAAAUUACAAAAAAUCCCCUGUCAAAACCCGCUUUUUCACUUCCCCCCCCAUCAUUUAAAAACCUACACUUUGCCCCCUUGUAAAAUAAAAAAUGUGCACUUCACCCCCUACCGUUAGGGUUCCGUUAUAAUAUUUUUUUUAUACAAAAAAUAUCCCAUCGCUGUUGCUUCGAUGGCUUCCGGGACGGCGCCCUCGCCGGCCUCGCUCUCCUCCACGAGCUCAACCUCCUCUUUGACCGCCCCCUCGAUGCCAUCUUCCUCAACUCCAACCGCCUCCGCCGCCGCCACCCCAUCCCCGCCAACCUCGGCGACUCCCCGGCCCCAUCGUCGUCCUCGCCCACAACAAACUCGGCGGCUGCAUCCCGCCCUCCAUCGGCCGCAUGGCCUGUUAGUUAUAUGCCCUAUAAGCCAAUCUUGUCAUAACUUAAAGGGUUAAUAUCAGUGUACUUUUCUUUUAUGAUUAAAUCUGGCAUUCUUCAUUUAUAUUACUGCCAAAUGCAUAUUUAUGAAUCGUCCAUAGAAUUAAUAGUAGAAGAAUUAAAUUUCUAAGAAGUUAGAAAUUUGACACNUAAAUUUGAGAUUUAAAAAUAUAGAUUUUAAUUUAAAUUUUAAAUUUUAAAUUAUUAUUUUUAAUUAUUUAAAUUUUAAAUUUAAAUUUAAAUAUAAUAAUUGGGGCAAAAUUAUUAUUUUCUAUUUAUAAUAACCCACUAUUUUUCUUAUAUAUCCCACCUACUCCAACCAAACACUAUUUUAUUUAUAUCUGGACUAAACUCAAUUCUCAAUCAAACACAAAAUUACUCUAACCACACCUUAACCCUGAACUUAACUCUAUUCCCGGAAUAACUAGUUAUUACUUAACCCCGAACCAAACGAAGUCAUAGGGACUUAAAAAAAAUCCUUAUUUAAAGGGAUGGGUCUUGAAUGUUGGAAUCACAAGUUUGAGGACCAAUGAAACUUGACUCAAAAAUGUUCGGAGACUAAUAGGGCAUCUUUCUCGAUGUAUUAAAGUUGAAAUAUAUGAAGACCCCUCAUCUAUAGGACAUUCUGAAAUUGCGCCCUCAACUUUAAUAUUUUUGAUUGGGACCCACUCGACUUCUAUUUUUUUGGAGUUAUUAUCUCAUACACCAGCAAAAGUACAUUUCAUGAAGUUAAUUUAAGAAAAUAGAGUACAGGAGCCUCAUAUAAACCAGUAAGUUCUAAAACCACAUAAUAAAAAAUCAUGUGAUAUAACCAAAUUGGAUGCUAUCCUAAAAUCUAUACAUAGUCUAAUAACUUGUUAAGAUUUUAGAACCAUCUUUUAAGUACACAUUUGGCUGCGCAUUUUGCGCGCAGUUUAGUGUGCAAACCUAUGUGUGGAACUCUUUAAUUAUGAAGAUGCAAACUAAACCCAAUGUUAAGUUCCUGGGAACUAUGUAGAUCUGAGAUGGGCCUGCAUUAAUUGGAUUUUGGACCCAAUAUAUAGAAGCAGUUUCCUCAGUUAGCUAUACAAGGUAGAUGCAUUGUUGCGCGUUAUUAACAAACAGUAUUUUUUCGCUCAUUCAAUUUUUUUGCUCAGUAAUAUCGUGAAUUUGAUUCUCACCUUCAAUUAGUGGGAAAGAGUAAGAUGCCGUCCAAAUAUAGUCCUGAAAUGUCUUUAUUGUUUCAACUUCAAAGAUACAAUGCAUGUGGAAUGAUUAGAGAUUCACGAGCAAUUUUGAUACGAAGAGCCACACCAUAUCCAAUGAUUAGACCUUCGCAAAUGAAGCCAUUAAGUAUUAUUGUGUGUUGCAGAAUUAUUUGGCCUAGCUAGGAUGGUCGGAGCAUUUAAAAAAAAUUGUUUUUUUUUGCAAAACUACUAGUAAAUUUUUAUGAAAUAACAUUUAUAACAGUAAUUGUCUAAUAGUAAUGAAUAUUUUCAGGUUACCUCGUAAAUAAUUAAUUAUUUUUCAGCACGGAGUAGCAGCUCAAAAAACCAAAAGAUAUUUACUAGCUUAGUUUUGCGUGAGAAAUAUUAUACACACUACAUAGUAUCGUCACAAUCAUUUUUCUUCAUUUUUUUUCGGUUUAUUAUUAUGUUUUUUUAUCUUACCCGCAUAUGUAUUAAACCGAAGAUUAAGAAUACAAACCUUAAAUUUAGGCCCAUAUAGUGACUUGAAUCCCUAAAAGUGCUUAAUUUCGUGAAAAAUAUUUUGUUUCGUAAUAAUUAUACAGUAUGAAAUGUACCUUAAACCAAUUAAUUCCAUUCUAUCCCAUGGAUAGCAAGGUAUCUAAUUAAGAACAAUCUAAUUUUUUAUAUUAAAUUAAUGUGUAAAAUUUUUUGCUUUUUUACUUUAAAAUAACUUGAAAAUCUUUGAUUGAUUAUUGUUAUUUCUAUAUAAAAUAAUUGUGUUAGACUGAUCGUUUCUAACACAAGCGGUAAAAGACUUAAUGAUUGGUAUUCGAGAAUCCAGAUUCGAAAAUAUCUCGAUUCGAAACUUAAUUAGCAGCUUUAUAUUUUCAGCUAAGUUUAUUUAUUUUAAAAAAAUUUAAUAGAUAUCCAAAUAGGCUCUUACUAUCGUGCAACUUUAGAUUCUUGGCUCUAGUAUAAAAUUUUCAAUGCAAACGGGGGCUCAAACUUCCGAUCUGAAAGU